rnacentral:tRNA from 1 species
ACCUGGCUGGCUCAGUGGAUAGAGCAUGUGACUCUUGAUCUCAGGGUUGUGAGUUCAAGCCCCUCGUUGGGCA